rnacentral:rRNA from 1 species
AUUGAACGCUGGCGGCAUGCCUUACACAUGCAAGUCGAACGGUAACAGGUCUUCGGAUGCUGACGAGUGGCGAACGGGUGAGUAAUACAUCGGAACGUGCCUAGUAGUUGGGGAUAACUACUCGAAAGAGUGGCUAAUACCGCAUGAGAUCGACGGACGAAAGCAGGGGAUCGCAAGACCUUGUGCUACGAGAGCGGCCGAUGGCAGAUUAGGUAGUUGGUGGGAUAAAAGCUUACCAAGCCGACGAUCUGUAGCUGGUCUGAGAGGACGAUCAGCCACACUGGGACUGAGACACGGCCCAGACUCCUACGGGAGGCAGCAGUGGGGAAUUUUGGACAAUGGGCGAAAGCCUGAUCCAGCAAUGCCGCGUGCAGGAUGAAGGCCUUCGGGUUGUAAACUGCUUUUGUACGGAACGAAAAGCCCCGGGUUAAUACCCUGGGGUCAUGGCGGUACCGUAAGAAUAAGCACCGGCUAACUACGUGCCAGCAGCCGCCGUAA